UACGGAGGGAGCUAGCGUUGUUCGGAAUUACUGGGCGUAAAGCGCACGUAGGCGGCUUUGCAAGUCAGAGGUGAAAGCCUGGAGCUCAACUCCAGAAUUGCCUUUGAGACUGCAUCGCUUGAACACGGGAGAGGUGAGUGGAAUUCCGAGUGUAGAGGUGAAAUUCGUAGAUAUUCGGAAGAACACCAGUGGCGAAGGCGGCUCACUGGACCGUUGUUGACGCUGAGGUGCGAAAGCGUGGGG
rnacentral:rRNA from 1 species